rnacentral:rRNA from 1 species
CGUAGGUGGCAAGCGUUGUCCGGAAUUAUUGGGCGUAAAGCGCGCGCAGGCGGGAAUGUAAGUCUGUCUUAAAAGUGCGGUGCUCAACGCCGUGAUGGGACAGAACUAUAUUUCUUGAGUGCAGGAGAGGACAGUGGAAUUCCCAGUGUAGCGGUGAAAUGCGUAGAUAUUGGGAGGAACACCAGUGGCGAAGGCGACUGUCUGGACUGUGUCUGACGCUGAGGCGCGAAAGCCAGGGUAGUGAACGGGAUUAGAUACCCCGGUAAUCCUGGCCGUAAACGAUGGGUACUAGGUGUUGGGGGUAUCGACCCCUCCAGUGCCGGAGUUAACGCAAUAAGUACCCCGCCUGGGGAGUACGGCCGCAAGGUUG